CCUACGGGAGGCUGCAGUGGGGAAUAUUGCACAAUGGGGGAAACCCUGAUGCAGCGACGCCGCGUGAGUGAAGAAGUAUCUCGGUACGUAAAGCUCUAUCAGCAGGGAAGAAAAUGACGGUACCUGACUAAGAAGCCCCGGCUAACUACGUGCCAGAAGCCGCGGUAAUACGUAGGGGGCAAGCGUUAUCCGGAUUUACUGGGUGUAAAGGGAGCGUAGACGGCAGCACAAGUCUGGAGUGAAAUCCCGGGGCUUAACCCCGGAACUGCUUUGGAAACUGGGCGGCUGGUGUGCAGGAGGGGUAAGCGGAAUUCCUAGUGUAGCGGUGAAAUGCGUAGAUAUUAGGAGGAACACCGGUGGCGAAGGCGGCUUACUGGACUGUAACUGACGUUGAGGCUCGAAAGCGUGGGGAGCAAACAGGAUUAGAUACCCUUGUAGUC
rnacentral:rRNA from 1 species